rnacentral:lncRNA from 1 species
UGAAAACACAAGAAGGGGGGGUUGAAUUGUGUUUUAGCAAAGUUAAAACUUUUUCAAGUUCUUAACUCAACUAAGUUAGCAGCGGAUAAAUAACACAAAUAACAACACGAAAGAGAGAGAAAGAUCACACAAGCAAUUUAUACUGGUUCCUCUCACAAAACGAGAGUAGUCCAGUCCCCUUGCACUUCCAAGGGAUUUCACUAUAAUCACACAAGAUUACACCUGCUCAAGCACACAAGCAAGAGACUUCUCAACAAUGCUCAAGCACACAAGCAAGAGAC